AAUAGGUUAGUACAAUAAGUAUAUCGGGCUCAUACCCUGGAGAUGAUUUUUUCACCUAUUU
rnacentral:tRNA from 1 species